rnacentral:rRNA from 1 species
AUUGAACGCUGGCGGCAGGCCUAACACAUGCAAGUCGAGCGGAUGAAGGGAGCUUGCUCCUGGAUUCAGCGGCGGACGGGUGAGUAAUGCCUAGGAAUCUGCCUGGUAGUGGGGGAUAACGUCCGGAAACGGGCGCUAAUACCGCAUACGUCCUGAGGGAGAAAGUGGGGGAUCUUCGGACCUCACGCUAUCAGAUGAGCCUAGGUCGGAUUAGCUAGUUGGUGGGGUAAAGGCCUACCAGGGCGACGAUCCGUAACUGGUCUGAGAGGAUGAUCAGUCACACUGGAACUGAGACACGGUCCAGACUCCUACGGGAGGCAGCAGUGGGGAAUAUUGGACAAUGGGCGAAAGCCUGAUCCAGCCAUGCCGCGUGUGUGAAGAAGGUCUUCGGAUUGUAAAGCACUUUAAGUUGGGAGGAAGGGCAGUAAGUUAAUACCUUGCUGUUUUGACGUUACCAACAGAAUAAGCACCGGCUAACUUCGCG